rnacentral:lncRNA from 1 species
UUCAUCGAGCAGCGAUUUUGAAGAGGACACAAUUGAGUUUAGAAGUGUUGAGAAAAAGAAGACGAAUAAAAAGACUAAAACGGUUGCCAAGACAACGCCUCAUAGACUUAUCUCAAGUAGUUCUUCAGACAACAGUUUAUCGACCAAACAUGAUUUAGAGAUUUGGAUUGAGAUUUAUCUUGAAAAAGAAAACAGAUGGCUUUCUGUGGACUGUGUUGAUCUUGUGUUUGAUGACGUUGGUCACUUUGGCAAAUUAUCCAACCAGCAGCUAGUUUAUGUUAUUGCAUUUGAUAAUGAUGGCUACCUCAAAGACUUGACUGCUCGCUACUCUGAUGACUUUCUGGUGAAAACGAGAAAGCUGCGAGUGGACAAAGAAUGGUGGGACGAGACAUUGAAGCCUUAUGUAAACACGAGUGCAGAUGAUGUCAAAGAAGACGAGCAAA